rnacentral:rRNA from 1 species
GAUGAACGCUGGCGGCGUGCCUAAUACAUGCAAGUCGAGCGAACAGACGAGGAGCUUGCUCCUCUGACGUUAGCGGCGGACGGGUGAGUAACACGUGGAUAACCUACCUAUAAGACUGGGAUAACUUCGGGAAACCGGAGCUAAUACCGGAUAACAUGUUGAACCGCAUGGUUCAACAGUGAAAGACGGUCUUGCUGUCACUUAUAGAUGGAUCCGCGCCGCAUUAGCUAGUUGGUAAGGUAACGGCUUACCAAGGCAACGAUGCGUAGCCGACCUGAGAGGGUGAUCGGCCACACUGGAACUGAGACACGGUCCAGACUCCUACGGGAGGCAGCAGUAGGGAAUCUUCCGCAAUGGGCGAAAGCCUGACGGAGCAGCGCCGCGUGAGUGAAGAAGGUCUUCGGAUCGUAAAACUCUGUUAUUAGGGAAGAACAAAUGUGUAAGUAACUAUGCACGUCUUGACGGUACCUAAUCAGAAAGCCACGGCUAACUACGUG